CCUACGGGGGGCAGCAGUAGGGAAUCUUCCACAAUGGGCGAAAGCCUGAUGGAGCAACGCCGCGUGAGCGAAGAAGGUCUUCGGAUCGUAAAGCUCUGUUGUAAGGGAAGAACAAGUGCAGUAGUAACUGGCUGCACCUUGACGGUACCUUACUAGAAAGCCACGGCUAACUACGUGCCAGCAGCCGCGGUAAUACGUAGGUGGCAAGCGUUGUCCGGAAUUAUAGGGCGUAAAGCGCGCGCAGGCGGUUUCUUAAGUCUGAUGUGAAAGCCCCCGGCUUAACCGGGGAGGGUCAUUGGAAACUGGGAGACUUGAGUGCAGGAGAGGGAAGCGGAAUUCCAUGUGUAGCGGUGAAAUGCGUAGAGAUAUGGAGGAACACCAGUGGCGAAGGCGGCUUCCUGGCCUGUAACUGACACUGAGAGGCGAAAGCUAGGGGAGCGAAUGGGAUUAGAUACCCGAGUAGUC
rnacentral:rRNA from 1 species